AGUGAACGCUGGCGGUAGGCCUAACACAUGCAAGUCGAACGGCAGCACAGUAAGAGCUUGCUCUUACGGGUGGCGAGUGGCGGACGGGUGAGGAAUACAUCGGAAUCUACUUUUUCGUGGGGGAUAACGUAGGGAAACUUACGCUAAUACCGCAUACGACCUACGGGUGAAAGCAGGGGAUCUUCGGACCUUGCGCGAUUGAAUGAGCCGAUGUCGGAUUAGCUAGUUGGCGGGGUAAAGGCCCACCAAGGCGACGAUCCGUAGCUGGUCUGAGAGGAUGAUCAGCCACACUGGAACUGGGACACGGUCCAGACUCCUACGGGAGGAGGAAGUGGGGAAUAUUGGACAAUGGGCGCAAGCCUGAUCCAGCCAUACCGCGUGGGUGAAGAAGGCCUUCGGGUUGUAAAGCCCUUUUGUUGGGAAAGAAAAGCAGCAGGUUAAUACCCCGCUGUUCUGACGGUACCCAAAGAAUAAGCACCGGCUAACUUCGUG
rnacentral:rRNA from 1 species